rnacentral:rRNA from 1 species
ACUAACAAGGAUUCCCCUAGUAACUGCGAGUGAAGCGGGAAAAGCUCAAAUUUAAAAUCUGGCGGUCUUCGGCCGUCCGAGUUGUAAUCUAGAGAAGUAAUACCCGCGCUGGACCGUGUACAAGUCUCCUGGAACGGGGCGUCAUAGAGGGUGAGAAUCCCGUCUCUGACAUGGACUACCAGUGCGUUGUGGUAUGCUCUCAAAGAGUCGAGUUGUUUGGGAAUGCAGCUCAAAAUGGGUGGUAAAUUCCAUCUAAAGCUAAAUAUUGGCGAGAGACCGAUAGCGAACAAGUACCGUGAGGGAAAGAUGAAAAGAACUUUGGAAAGAGAGUUAAACAGUACGUGAAAUUGCUGAAAGGGAAACGCUUGAAGUCAGUCGCGUUGGCCAGGGAUCAGCCUCGCUCUUGCGUGGUGUACUUUCUGGUUGACGGGUCAGCAUCAAUUUUGACCGCUAGAAAAAGGCCUGGGGAAUGUGGCAGCCACGGCUGUGUUAUAGCCCCUAGUCACAUAUGGCGGUUGGGAUUGAGGAACUCAGCACGCCGAAAGGCCGGGUUUCGACCACGUUCGUGCUUAGGAUGCUGGCAUAAUGGCUUUAAGCGACCCGUCUUGAAACACGGACCAAGGAGUCUAACGUGCCUGCGAGUGUUUGGGUGGAAACCCCAAGCGCGUAAUGAAAGUAAAAGUUGAGAUCCCUGUCGUGGGGAGCAUCGACGCCCGGACCAGAACUUUUGGGACGGAUCCGCGGUGGAGCAUGUACGUUGGGACCCGAAAGAUGGUGAACUAUGCCUGAAUAGGGUGAAGCCAGAGGAAACUCUGGUGGAGGCUCGUAGCGAUUCUGACGUGCAAAUCGAUCGUCAAAUUUGGGUAUAGG